AUCGACUGAGCGGCGCCGUUAAUCGGUAGUAGAAAAAAUAAACUGGAUUGAUUCUUAGCGUAAGAUUUGGUUUCAUUCAAAUUCAAAUUGGCAAUUAGAAACCCUAAUUAUGAGCAUUUUGGAAGCAUGAAAGAGAUGAGCGGCAAUGAGUUCCGAUUCUUUUUGUCCUGCGACAUCAAUCUUCCAGUUACCUUUCGCAUCGAGAGGUUGGAAGGCAAUUUGCCUUCUGUCAAGUCCUCUAUCUCAG
rnacentral:lncRNA from 1 species